rnacentral:rRNA from 1 species
GACGAACGCUGGCGGCGUGCUUAACACAUGCAAGUCGAACGGAAAGGCCCUGCUUUUGUGGGGUGCUCGAGUGGCGAACGGGUGAGUAACACGUGAGUAACCUGCCCUUGACUUUGGGAUAACUUCAGGAAACUGGGGCUAAUACCGGAUAGGAGCUCCUGCUGCAUGGUGGGGGUUGGAAAGUUUCGGCGGUUGGGGAUGGACUCGCGGCUUAUCAGCUUGUUGGUGGGGUAGUGGCUUACCAAGGCUUUGACGGGUAGCCGGCCUGAGAGGGUGACCGGCCACAUUGGGACUGAGUGAGGCCCCAACCUCGUAGGGGGGGAAGAGGGGGGAAAUAUGGCACAGGGGGCGAAAGCCUGAUCCAGCACCCCCGCGUGGGGGAUGACGCCCUUGGGUUUGUAACCCUCUUUCGCCUGUGACGAAGGGGGGGGGAGGGUAGUGGGAAAAGAAGCACCGCUAAACUGCGG